rnacentral:rRNA from 1 species
UAACGCGUGGGAAUAUGCCCAAAGGUACGGAAUAGCCUCUGGAAACGGAGAGUAAUACCGUAUGUGCCCUUCGGGGGAAAGAUUUAUCGCCUUUGGAUUAGCCCGCGUUAGAUUAGGUAGUUGGUGGGGUAAUGGCCUACCAAGCCUACGAUCUAUAGCUGGUUUUAGAGGAUGAUCAGCAACACUGGGACUGAGACACGGCCCAGACUCCUACGGGAGGCAGCAGUGGGGAAUCUUGGACAAUGGGGGCAACCCUGAUCCAGCCAUGCCGCGUGAGUGAUGAAGGCCUUAGGGUCGUAAAGCUCUUUCGCCUGUGAAGAUAAUGACGGUAGCAGGUAAAGAAACCCCGGCUAACUCCGUGCCAGCAGCCGCGGUAAUACGGAGGGGGUUAGCGUUGUUCGGAAUUACUGGGCGUAAAGCGCACGUAGGCGGAUCGGAAAGUUGGGGGUGAAAUCCCGGGGCUCAACCCCGGAACUGCCUCCAAAACUAUCGGUCUAGAGUUCGAGAGAGGUGAGUGGAAUUCCGAGUGUAGAGGUGAAAUUCGUAGAUAUUCGGAGGAACACCAGUGGCGAAGGCGGCUCACUGGCUCGAUACUGACGCUGANGUGCCAAAAGUGUGGGGNAGCAAACAGGGAUUAGAUACCCCUGGUAGUCCACACCCGUAAACGAUGAAAUGCCAGUUCCGUNCGGGUA